CCUACGGGAGGCAGCAGUGGGGAAUAUUGGGCAAUGGGCGCAAGCCUGACCCAGCAAUGCCGCGUGAAGGAAGGAGGCCCUCGGGUUGUAAAGUUCUAUUAUCAGGGACGAAGGAUGUGGCGGUACCUGUUGAAUACGCCCCGGCUAACUACGUGACAGCAGCCGCGGUAAUACGUAGGGAGCACGCGUUACCCGGAUUUACGGGGUGUAAAGGGCGCGUAGGCGGGAUGGCACGUCAGAUGUGAAAUCCAGGGGCUCAACCCCUGAACUGCAUUUGAAACUGUCGUUCUGGAGUACUGGAGAGGUUGACGGAAUUCCUGGUGUAGCGGUGAAAUGCGUAGAUAUUAGGAGGAACACCAGUGGCGAAGGCGGUCAACUGGACAGCAACUGACGCUGAGGCGCGAAAGCGUGGGGAGCAAACAGGAUUAGAUACCCUAGUAGUC
rnacentral:rRNA from 1 species